rnacentral:rRNA from 1 species
AAAUGAAUUGACGGGGGCUCGCACAAGCGGUGGAGCGCGUGGCUUAAUUCGUAGAUAAGCGAAGAACCUUACCAAGGCUAGAAAUCAUACUGCACGCCCCGUGAAAGCGGGGAAGCCUUAGAGGGUGUAUGACAGGUGAUGCAUGGCCGUCGUCAGUUCGUGGCUUGAGUUGUUCCCUUAAGUGGGGAAACGAACGCAACCCUCGUUGUGUGUUAUACGUGUCACACGAGACUGCUCCCUCACGGGAGAGGAAGGUGAGGAUGACGCCAGGUCAGCAUGUCCCUUGAUGCCUUGGGCUGCACACACGCUACAAUGGGUACUACAGCGGGACGCAAUAUCGUAAGAUGGAGCAAAUCCUGAAAAGUAUCCUCAAUUCAGAUUGAGGGCUGCAACUCGCCCUCAUGAAGUCGGAAUCGCUAGUAAUCGCAGGUCAGCACACUGCGGUGAAUACGUUCCCGAGCCUUGUACACACCGCCCGU